rnacentral:rRNA from 1 species
AAACGGAAAUUAAUACUCCAUAAUAUUCUAGUAUCGCAUGUUAUUAGAAUUAAAGCUUCGGUGGCUACGGAUGGGCAUAUGUCCCAUUAGCUUGUUGGUGAGGUAACUGCUCACCAAGGCUACGAUGGGUAGGGGGUCUGAGAGGAUGAUCCCCCACACUGGUACUGAGACACGGACCAGACUCCUACGGGAGGCAGCAGUGAGGAAUAUUGGUCAAUGGGCGAAAGCCUGAACCAGCCAUGCCGCGUGCAGGAUGACAGUCCUACGGAUUGUAAACUGCUUUUCUGCAAGAAGAAAUGUUCCGACGUGUCGGGAUUUGACGGUAUUGCAGGAAUAAGCAUCGGCUAACUCCGUGCCAGCAGCCGCGGUAAUACGGAGGAUGCAAGCGUUAUCCGGAUUCAUUGGGUUUAAAGGGUGCGUAGGCGGAUUAGAUAGUCAAAGGUGAAAGCCUGCAGCUUAACUGUAGAAGUGCCUUUGAUACUGCUAAUCUUGAGUACAGUUGAGGCGAGUGGAAUGUGUAGUGUAGCGGUGAAAUGCAUAGAUACUACACAGAACACCAAUUGCGAAGGCAGCUCGCUAAGCUGUUACUGACGCUCAGGCACGAAAGCGUGGGGAGCGAACAGGAUUAGAUACCCUGGUAGUCCACGCUGUAAACUAUGAUCACUAGCUGUUGGCGAUAAAUUGUCAGUGGCUCAGCGAAAGCGUUAAGUGAUCCACCUGGGGAGUACGAUCGCAAGGUUGAAACUCAAAGGAAUUGACGGGGGCCCGCACAAGCGGUGGAACAUGUGGUUUAAUUCGAUGAUACGCGAGGAACCUUACCUGGGCUUAAAUGUAGCGCGACGUCUCGAGAAAUCGGGAUUCCCUUCGGGGCGAACUACAAGGUGCUGCAUGGUUGUCGUCAGCUCGUGCCGUGAGGUAUCGGGUUAAGUCCCAUAACGAGCGCAACCCUUAUUGUUAGUUGCCAGCGGAUAAUGCCGGGGACUCUAACAAAACUGCCCGUGUAAACGGGAGGAAGGUGGGGAUGACGUCAAAUCAGCACGGCCCUUAUGUCCAGGACUACACACGUGUUA